UACAGAGGCCCCAAGCGUUACUGAGAAUCACUGGGUUUAAAGGGUGCGUAGGUGGUCCGUUAAGUCUGUUGUGAAAGCCCUUGGCUCAACCAAGGAAUUGCUUCGGAUACUGGCGGACUUGAGGCUAGUAGAGGUCACUGGAACUGACGGUGGAGCGGUGAAAUGCGUAGAUAUCGUCUGGAACGCCAAAGGUGAAAACAGACUGCUGGGAGUGUGCUGACGCUGAGACACGAAAGCCAGGGGAGCAAACGGG
rnacentral:rRNA from 1 species